UAACACAUGCAAGUCGAGGGGCAGCGGGGAAAAGCUUGCUUUUCCGCCGGCGACCGGCGCACGGGUGCGCACCGCGUAUGGAAUGCCUUGUACAGGGGAAUAGCCCAGGGAAACUUGGAUUAAUGCCCCGUAGUACCGUAUUUCGGCAUCGUUAUACGGUUAAAGCCUUCGGGCGGUACAAGAUGGCCAUGCGUCCCAUUAGCUUGUUGGUAAGGUAACGGCUUACCAAGGCUACGAUGGGUAGGGGCCCUGAGAGGGGGAUCCCCCACACUGGUACUGAGACACGGACCAGACUCCUACGGGAGGCAGCAGUGAGGAAUAUUGGACAAUGGAGGAGACUCUGAUCCAGCCAUGCCGCGUGCAGGAAGAAUGCCCUAUGGGUAGUAAACUGCUUUUAUACGGGAAGAAAAAGAGCUACGUGUAGCUUACUGACGGUACCGUAAGAAUAAGGACCGGCUAACUCCGUGCCAGCAGCCGCGGUAAUAC
rnacentral:rRNA from 1 species